AAGAUUAAGCCAUGCACGUGUAGGUACAGGCCGCAAAAAUGGUCGAAACUGCGAACGGCUCAUUAAAUCAGUCAUGGUUCAUUGGAUCGUACACUCUUACGUGGAUAACUGUGGUAAUUCUAGAGCUAAUACAUGCAACUCAACUCCGACCCUUUCGGGGGGAAGAGGGCUCUUAUUAGAUCAAGACCAAUCGGGUGCCUCGCGCCCGCUCAUCAUGGUGACUCUGGAUAACACGUUAGCCGAUCGCACGGCCUCGCGCCGGCGACGUUUCCUUUAAAUGUCUGCCUUAUCAACUGUCGAUGGCAGGUGACUUGCCUGCCAUGGUCGCGACGGGUAACGGGGAAUCAGGGUUCGGUUCCGGAGAGGGAGCCUGAGAAACGGCUACCACAUCCAAGGAAGGCAGCAGGCGCGCAAAUUACCCAUUCCCGACACGGGGAGGUAGUGACGAAAAAUAACGAUGCGGGACUCUUUGGAGGCCCCGUAAUCGGAAUGAGAGCAAUCUAAAUCCUUGCACGAGGAUCAAUUGGAGGGCCAGUCUGGUGCCAGCAGCCGCGGUAAUUCCAGCUCCAAUAGCGUAUAUUAAAGUUGCUGCGUUUAAAACGUUCGUAGUUGGAUCUCGGGUGAGGAACGGUCGGUGUGGGCCCAAGUGCCCUCCACUGCCGUCGCGCCUCUGAUCGCGUGGUCGUUCGGUCGUGGCCGUUGGCUCGGUCGUGGUCGGGCGGGUGCCGCAGAGGGGCGAGUCACUUCCCACCUAAACCGCCCGUCUCCUCCACGCGUGCCCUUGACUGGGUGGCGCGCGGCGGUCGGGUCAGUUACUUUGAGAAAACAGAGGUGCUCGAAGCAGGCAGUUCUCGUUGGCCAUUGAACGAGUUGUGCAUGGGAUAACAAAAUAGGACUUCGGUUCUGUUGUGUUGGUUUACAGGUUGCCGAGGUAAUGAUUAAGAGAAGCAGACGGGGACAUUCGUAUUGCAGCGUGAGAGGUGAAAUUCAUGGAUCGCCGCAAGACGAACUACUGCGAAAGCAUUUGUCAAGCAUGUUUUCAUUAAUCAAGAACGAAAGUCAGAGGCUCGAAGACGAUCAGAUACCGUCGUAGUUCUGACCGUAAACGAUGCCGACCGGCGAUGCGCCGCGGCCGUAUAAAAUGACCCGGCGUGCAGCCUUCCCGGGAAACCUCGAGUGUUUGGGUUACGGGGGAAGUAUGGUUGCAAAGCUGAAACUUAAAGGAAUUGACGGAAGGGCACCACCAGGAGUGGAGCCUGCGGCUUAAUUUGACUCAACACGGGAAAACCUACCCGGCCCGGACACCGUGAGGAUUGACAGAUUGAGAGCUCUUUCUCGAUUCGGUGGGUGGUGGUGCAUGGCCGUUCUUAGUUGGUGGAGCGAUCUGUCUGGUUAAUUCCGAUAACGAACGAGACUCUAGCCUGCUAAAUAGUUCUCCGUAGAGCCGCGAAUGGCCGUCGGAGCCGGGAAUGGCGCGUACUUCUUAGAGGGACUAGUGGCUUUCAGCCACGCGAGAUUGAGCAAUAACAGGUCUGUGAUGCCCUUAGAUGUCCGGGGCUGCACGCGCGCUACAAUGAAUGAAUCAGCGUGAGUCUCAUCCUGCUCCGAGAGGAGUCGGCAACCCACUGAAACUCAUUCGUGAUAGGGACUGUGCAUUGAAACUGUUGCACACGAACGAGGAAUUCCCAGUAAACGCGAGUCACUAGCUGGCGUUGAUUACGUCCCUGCCCUUUGUACACACCGCCCGUCGCUACUACCGAUUGGAUGUUUUAGUGAGGCUUUUGGAUCGGUCCCAAGUUGCCGGCGGUUCGCUCCGUCGGCGCCUUCCGGCGUGCCGAGAAGAUAAACUGUUGCACAACGAACGAGGGAAGUAAAAGUCG
rnacentral:rRNA from 1 species